GAGUCGUAACAAGGUUUCCGUAGGUGAACCUGCGGAAGGAUCAUUAUUGAAUAAAUCUGACGUGGUUGUCGCUGGCUCCCCCGGGAGCAUGUGCACGCCCGUCACCUUUAUUUCUCCACCUGUGCACACACUGUAGGCCUGGAUACCUCUCGUCGCAAGGCGGAUGCGUGGCUUGCUGUCGCUUUCGAAAGAAGGCCGGCUUGCCAUAAAUUUCCAGGUCUAUGAUUUCUUACACACCCCAAACUGAAUGUUAUGGAAUGUCAUCUCAAGGCCUUGUGCCUAUAAACCUAUACAA
rnacentral:misc_RNA from 1 species